AAUACAUUUUAAAAACCCAUGGUUUAAAACAUUUUUUAUGUUAAACAACAAUUUUGGAACUAAAUUCUUCAGAGCCUCAGUCUUGUUUCGUAUCCCUCAAUUAGGGAUCUUCUAAAUUGGUACAGCCCUGUAGAGCUGCUGUUAGCAGCACCAAUCCCUUCCACACCAAGAGGAAAACAUUGCUUCCUGGAAACUUUAUAUAUUGGUGUAACUUUUCUAAAUCUUUGCUGUUUUCUUUCCAGGACAAAAAAAAAAAACCCAAAACAACCAAAUCACUUUUAACACAUGAAAGGUCCUGGAGCUCUGUAAGAGGACAGCUGAGCACUGGCAGUGCCAAACCACACGUGUGGGCAUGUGGUGGUGGAGUGUCAGCGUGAAGCAGAGAUACCUCAUCAUGGAGGAGGACUUGCUGCAUUCAGGCUUCCAUUAUGGAAGCAGCUCUGCUGCAGCCCUGCAGUGCUGGUGUGCCGUAGGACUGUCCUCAGUGGAGUGUGCUGGGAACACCAUUGCAGCCCUCAGACAGACAGGAGGAUGUGACAGCCCUCUGAGCUCAGCAGUUGAACUGGCCAAACACAGCCUUGGAUGUCCAAAGGGCUGAGGCAAAGUGAUGCUGCAGCCUCUGUGUCCUCACUAGUGAGCAGCAGGAGAGCAUCCGUGUUGUGCCUUUCCUCGCCCCGCAGCAAUUUUACUCCAAAAGUCCUGUAUUUUUGGACAAUUGUCUACUUGCAUCCAUCCCUGGAAGGGGCUCAGAGUGCAUUUCACAUUGAAAAAAACCAAAACAACUGCUCUGUGCUGCUCUGGCUGAAGAAGAGGCUUCCUUUAAAAACGGCUCAAGCGGUGGGAAUGCUGCCAAGGCGCUCCGGCGGGUGACGCAGCAAACUGCUGCAUUGCUCCUGCUGUCCUUGCCCAGGAUGCCCAGCAAUCAGCGUGAUGAAGGCUCUCAUUUCCUCAUUUGCAAGUCUACGUUGCUUCACUUUGUCGCUGACUUUCUACGUGGUGUUUGUGCAACUCUUCCCAGAGCCCUGGGAGGACGGUUACCUUUGACAGCCGUUUCACCUGGUUGAAACUCCUGGGUUGGGCAAUGGCCAGCAGCCGCCUUCCCGAUGGCACUCUGGAUUGAGUGGAACUGUUUGGUGCCUCCCUUCCCAGGUACAGCCCACUCCCAGAUGCCUCCCUGGGGGUGUGGUGCCAGCUGCAGCCAUCCCACGUGCUGAAAUGCUUGGCACAGCACUGGAGCACUUGAAAUGUUGACUCUGCUCCAGACGUCCUGUGCCUUGCCUAGCACAAGGGCUUCUGCAAUGUCCAGGGUCUCAUUAACACAGCCCUGGGAAGAAAAGGAGCUGGUGGGGAGCUGCUGAACACCAGCAGUUCUUCAGAGUGCAGGAAGGAGAGGAGGGGGGCUGCCCAGGCGCUGGCACAAAGCCCGGAGCAUGGGCCAUUGCCUGGCAGGAAUGCAGAUGAGAUGUAAUGGAGUUUGAAAGCGUAGGGCACUCUCUGGGAUGCCGGUCCUGUGGGGGAGGGAAAGGCACCCUGUGAGACCUGGAAACUGGAGCAAACAAAACCUGUAGCCCCGGCCCUGCACCUUCAUGCCUCCUCCUGAAUAAGGUCCUGCAGAAAUUUGGGGAAAAGGAGGAGAAUUGAGCAGCUCUGCUCAGGAGUUCAGGGGAAUAGAGGAGGCUCCUGGAGUACAAAUACCUUCUUUGGCCUGCCAAGUGUGCUGAUGGCCUGGAGCAGGUGGUUAGUUCCUGCUCUGAAUGUUUCUCUUGGCCCCGGUUUUCCAGCCCUUUGCUCCACAUGUACAAGACCUAUUGUGUCCUUUGGGCUGUGUUCCCUCUCUGAUGUGGGCUUCCAGUGACUUCCCUCUUGCAUGAAGUCUAGACUGACUCAAACUCAGAUUUUGUCUGACAAUUUCCUGGAGGUGGAAGUAACACCACUUCUGGGGAGUGUCACAGAUUUGAUUUGAUUUGAUUCCAGCAAAAUAACAGAGGCUGCAGGGGAUCCCACUGCUCAUGUGCCUUGGCUUGAGGAGAUCAGCAAGGAACCUGUUCCAGUGCCUGUGUCUGGCUGUGCUGCUCUGUGGACUGAUGGAGCCAGCACUGCUCAGUGAACCUGUGAUUGGGCACAGCAGUCCUUGGUAGGUGAGACCUUGCUUACGUUGCAGGACUACUGUCAGAGCAAGAGAGGAGUGCUCCGUUGUCAUCCCUGUGGUAUUCUCAGUUUCAUGCGCUGCAAUUAAACCACCUGCCAAAUAAUGAUGUGGCAAAUCUGGGUGGUGUGGCCUCCUCUGAUCUGUUCCUUAAAGCUGGGAACAUGAGCUGGACUGGAAAGCAUCUGCUCUGUGCAACCUUGGUCAUGGUAAUCAUUUAUGACUGUUAGUAGAUCUGAAAUUUGCAGUUAAAACGUUUCCUACCCAGACAUACCAAUGACAGUGCCAGUUCCUCCUGUUCUCCCUGGGUUCUUCUGAAAAGAGCAAGGGCAGCGUGGCUGCUCUCCUUUGGAGCAGGGAUGAAUCAGCAGAGGGUGAAUAGCAGGAGGCUGGUACUGCUGUAUUUUCUCUGCAGAUGUAAACUACGUGAACACAUUCAUCACAUCCUGAGAAUGCACCCCGGAUUUGCUUUUGUGCCUCUUGUUAUUACGGGCUGAUUGCACUUGAAAGGUAGAAAUGAACAAUUUCUGACCAAGCCUGUCUUGUGGAGUCAGCAAUUCCCAGGUGCCAGUGGGGUCUUUGGGGGGCUGUCCUGGUCUUCACAGGUAUCAGCCUGGCACAGCCAAUGCAGAGUUUGGGAAGCAAACAUCCUCUCCAGGUGUUAUUCCCUGUCUUGGCAAAGCUGGCAGGUUUGUGGCACAGAUGCUGCCAAAAGUCUUGUCUGAAGCCGUGUCUCAGCUGAGGUGUGACUUGUGCCACCAAGGAAAAAGUGCCACCUGGAUUGGAAUGCCAGCCAGGUGGCACAAUUUUCCCUCGCUGUCUGAGGGAAGUGAGGCUUUUUCUUUUAUUUGCAGAAGGACCAUGCUUUAAGCGGGGCUGUGCUGCAGCUCAAGGAGGCUUUCCUUGAGCUCAUCAUCCUGCGAAGUGUGGAGAGAUGAAAACUGCUGAGCCUCCUCUGCAGCUGGUACUUCCAAGGUGCUUGCAGGGGUGUUGGAUGCAAACCUCUGGACAGCCUCUAAAAUGCCAGUGACAGGGUUGCCAUGAUUGUAUCAUGAGUCUUGCAUUGGCGGCGUGUUUUCCAUGGAGUCAGUUCCUGGAAUCACACAAUUAGGUAGGAACGUGUUCUUUAAUUUUCAAGGAAGAAAGUCCAUUUCAGGAUCUCCCUGUAGCCCUGAACCUUCACAACUGAAGUGAGGAGGUCCUGGGUGUCUGCUCGCCUGGCUAUUCUGAACGUUUUAUAGACAGAUUCACGCUUUUAAAAAUGGACAAUAAAAACCUCUCUCAGUUUUCUGAAA